rnacentral:rRNA from 1 species
UACGUAGGGGGCAAGCGUUGUCCGGAUUUAUUGGGCGUAAAGAGCGUGUAGGCGGCCACACAGGUCUGCUGUGAAAACUCGAGGCUCAACCUCGAGCUGUCGGUGGAAACCGUGUGGCUAGAGUCCGGAAGAGGAGAGUGGAAUUCCCGGUGUAGCGGUGAAAUGCGCAGAUAUCAGGAGGAACACCGGUGGCGAAGGCGGGUCUCUGGGCCGAUAUUGACGCUGAGGAGCGAAAGCGUGGGGAGCGAACAGG